GAUCAGGAUGCACUUGCCUCCCCUGUUCGGGCUCUCUCAUGUCAUUGGAGUGCACACCGUAAAUGCUACAGUAACUGUGGCCAGCGAGUAUUUGUUUUCUUUAUGAUUAGGUAGAUCCCAAAUUGGACUCAAACAAGGGAAGGCUGUGGCUGGUUAAUAAUCAGUAGAAAAGGGUUAUUUCUGGCUCUAGGGUUGGCUUUUGUUAUCAUUUUGAGAAGAAAGAAAACUAAAGCCUGCUAUAAAUUAUCUGGUGCCUUGCAUCCCACAAGUGAAGAGGGAAAGCUUGAAAUGUGACCUAAACCUCUAUGCUUGGUCGGUGGAAAGCAACGGAUAUGCUUUAUUUUUUGAGGCCAGACUUAUUGCAUGCAAUGUGGGUUUCAUAACCAGAUUCCAAGUGCAGUGAUAUGGAAUUAAUAGUGUGACAUGUUUACAGUGGAGGAGGUGUUAUUAUAUUGAGUGGUAAGAAGCAGAGAUAUAAACUGCAUCGUCUACAGUGAAUCAGCACAUAGAGCAUUCUGUGCUGCUGCUCGAGAGGCCAUCUGGAAAAAUGCUUCAAUGGAUCGAAAUUGGUUGCAUCUGAUGUACUUCGAUGUUAUACUUGUCAGAACCAAGCUGCCAUUGCUAAUGUGAAGCUGGGGAGGGUUUUAGGUUUCAAUCUACCUUUCUAGGAAGUGCUGCUAUGGCUUGUAUUCUACCUCCAUCAGCAUUACAAUUAUCUGUGGUAUUACAGUGCAAGAUGUUCUUAGAGAAAAUUCUUUUGACACUACUGAAGAAAGCCUUGUUCAGGUCAAAUGUGACCCAAAAUCUAUCCAGGGUUAUGCUGAGGUGCACAUUGAACAAGGACCUGCAAUGGAAACACUAGGUUGUCCCCUUAGUGUUGUGAAAGGAAUUGCCGGACAGACAAGAUGGAAGGUUUGCAAGCUUGUCAUAUUCUAUCAUGUCAGAAUGCUAUACAGAAUAUGACCUCUCUAUAGAAAAAGGGCCAGGAGAAACAAAACAUUUUGCUAUAGCAAGUAGCAAGGAAUUUCUAGAGCAUUUAAAACAUUACAUUGGAUAUAAAUGUGUUAAAUGCAAAGCUAGAACAUCCUAAAAAUAUGAAACCAAUAAUUAGAUCAUUUUUUAAACAAUUGUUGUCUCUAUCGUGGGAAUCAGUGCAUUUGGAAUUGCUUUCAUGAGUGAUUAUUAUCAUACUGUAGUGAUUGUUUCUUGAUAAAUAUGCAGCCUUCAUGAGUAUCUGCAACUAGUUUUGUUAAAGCAUAUACCAUGAUUGUUAGGAACUGGUAUCAAUUGCUAGCAGCUAUACUGGUAUAUCGGGGUAGACUUUCGGAUAUUCGAAAAUUGGAAUAAUUAUUAUUCUAGUUAAGCUUAUGGUGUGCUCACUGUGCAACAAUGGUGAUAUUUUUUGAAAAAUAGACGACAAGCAAGCUGCACAGUUCUCAACAUUUGCACCAUUCUUGAUUUGGAGUUGAUUAUCAUGGAAUAUUGUGGACAAGAGUUUGGAAAAGCAAGAACAGUGAUUGCCUUUUGUUCCAAAAUUCCCAAGAAAAUCAAAGUCAUCUGGAAGAUCAUAUUAUUCCUAUUAAUGAUGGUGGUUUCUGAAAUUUCAUAGCUAAGUGGAAGAAUCAUUCACUUAACUAUAGGACAUGGAUUUUGGAUAAGGAAUUUCAGCGUAUAAAUUCAGGCCUUAAAAGUUUCUUCACUUGCUGAAGAAAAGCUUCCCCAACCUGGAGAAGGCAAGUAACUUGAUAUUUCAGUUUUCAGGAUUUCUGCUGUCCGGAUACAACAAUCCUGGAGAAUUAAACAUGAAAUUAUACUCAUAGGACCUCAAAAUAAACGUGCUCUGCUUACAUAAGCCAAGACUAUCAGCAUUCAGCAUGUAUUUUUAGGGUCUUUGUCAAAAGACACUUGAUUGCAAGUUAUGAAACUGAUACUGAAUUUUAUGAAUUGACUGCCUCACGAGAUAUAUUAUCUGCAAAUGAUUAUAGUAAUUUGUCCCGCUGGUUUGCUAUUGAACUCUAAACCAAUAACUGAUUUUAUGCUUUAAAAAUGAAUGCCAGAUAAGACUCUAAUCACUUUCCUGGAAAUGGCAUUAAAUGGUCAAUGAUGCUUAUUACAGCAGCAUGUAUUUUUGUUUCCUGCAAGAAAAUAUUUGAGUUUCACUGGGUAGUUCUUUAAGAAAUCUAUUAGUUUAGAUAUUUAUCAGUAUGCCUUCAAGAAGCCACUGAGUUUGCCUGCAAGGCUGCAGUCGCUUUCUAGGUUGAAGUAAGUGUUUCCGAAGGCAUGCCAGCACAGUUUCAAUGUUAAUGUGCCAAGAUCCAAUGGCUGCUUCUGCUGAACUUAUGGUAACUUUGGAGUCUUUUUUGUAAAUAUUCUGAUCAUGAUACACCGUACUGGCCCGAACCGGAUGGUACGGAGCAUACUGUACCAUACCAGUUCGGUACCGGUAUCCGGUAUGGGUGGCGUACCAAUAUUCGGUACGCCAAAAAAAUUCUGUAUCGUAUUGACACUAUGCUAGUAUGGCAUCGAUACAUGAUCUAGUACCGAGAUAGCGAACCUUGAUUAUGACAGUGUAGAUUUUUCAGAAAGGAUUCUCUUGCUGGAUUGAUCUACACAAUUGGAGAGAUAUCCUGUUAGCCAAGUGCAAGCAAUGUCAUUCCGGGCUAGAUAUUAUUUCACCAUGCACCUAUUUCGUAUGGAAGAAAAAUAAUCCCUGAAUGUGACCAUGUUAUUGGGUUACUUCCUUACAUAUGUUUAUAUAUUUAUUUUUUUUCAGAAAAAAAACUAUUUGCAGAUAAAUGUUAUUGUGGAUGGAAGAGCAAUGGAUGUCGAGGCAAAAGAAGUGGAAGUAUCUGAAUUUUCUAGCCAAGUUUAUCAAAUAUGGGAGCAGCAGAUGGUUAAUUGUACCAUUGAGCAUUAGAUGUGGGACUAUAGUCUUGUAUUCAAACUUAUGUGCUGAUACCUUUACUGCAUUAACUACUACAUGACACAUAAAUCAUUUCAGCAGAAUGCGGAGGCGGCUCACUGCGACUUGGAAUUAAGUCUGCAGCUUAAACAUGAAGCUUGUUCGGCUCUGAGGAAGAUGUCAGGCGACAUUGCCUAAUGAAUGAAGCAGGACAUGAUGCUAUGGUGAUGUCUCAUUUAACUAAGGUCAGAUACCUCAUGCACUAUAAUUAAGAAAAUUAGUGCUGUUUUUCCCCAUUUUUGACUGGCAGUUGGUAUAGAAGCAUGUCGGCAUGUUGUUUGUACGCUGUCGGGGAGGUAUUAGCCAUUCUCCUAAGAAAUCUGGAUUUGAUGAUAAUGUUUGGGCUGCUGGUCUCGCACUCUGUCUUCGGAUCAACAUGUAAAUCAGUAACAUGUCUGAAAUUAUAUGUUAGCUGGCUUUUUUAUAGUGUU